CAGGUUCAGUGAGGCUGAAGAACUUGAUCCUGGCAGCCGAUGAAUAGAAGGCAUCCCAGGCUUCAGAGAUCUUGGCCCUAUAUCAGGGUGCUGCCUCUUUAAACUUUUGACCUUUACGAUGCUCUGUUGUUGCAACUGUCUGCUGGGCUACCGGAUUGGAAGCUAAGAAGCCUUGAAUUACCUACAUAAAAGUGUACAGUUCAAUGAUGUUUGACAAAUGUACAGCUGUGCAACCAUUACCCUGAUCAAGAUAAGGAACACUUCCGUCAUCCUGAAAUUCUCUCGUGCCCCAUUUGCGGUCAAUCUCCACACACCAUUCCUGGUACAAGGUCCUUCCAGUUGUGGCAUGCGGGACGCUACCUCAGCAUGGUUCAAUGAGCAGUGCCAUGUCUGCGCCGAGGAUUCGAACCAACGAAACACUGGGCCACCUGCAGUGGAGCGUGCAAACUUAACCACUCAGCCACAGGGCCAGCCCCCGGUCUUCAAGUAUUUUUAUAUCCUCCUAUCCUUCUGGGAAUACAAUUACAUGUGUAUUAGAGUACUUGAUAUUUUCCACAGAUUACUAAAGCUCUACUCACUCUUUCAGUCUUUUUUCUCUCUGUGCUUCAGUUUGGAUAGUUUCAAUUGCCCUGUAUUCAAGUUCACUCAUCUUUUCUUCUGCAGUAUCCAAUCUGUUAUUAAUCCCACUCAGUGAACUUUUCUUUCCACAUAUUGAAUAUUUUUAUCUCUAGAAUUUCUGUUGGCUUUGUUGGUUCUUUUCUGUAUGUUCAGUAUCUCUUCUCAUUAUGUUUUCUUUUAUAUAGUUUAACAAAUUUACAAUAGCUAUUUUAAUGUCCUUGUUUGUUAAUUUCAUUAUUUCCAUCAUUUCAGGUCCGUUUCUAUUGACUUAUUUCCCACCAAAUUAUGGGUGACAUUUUGCUGCUGCUUUUCAUACCUAGCAGUUUUUUUUUUUCUUUUGAGGAAGAUUAGCCCUGAGCUAACAUCUGCUGCCAAUCCUCAUCUUUUUUGCUGAGGAAGACUAGCCCUGAGCUAACACCCAUGCCCAUCUUCCUCUACUUUAUAUGUGGGACGCCUGCUACAGCAUGGCUUGACAAGUGGUGCAUAGGUCUGCACCUGGCAUCUGAACCAGCAAGCCCUGAGACGCUGAAGUAGAAUGUGUGAACUUAACUGCUGGGCCACUGGGUCAGCCCCAACACCUAGUAAUUUUUUAUUGAAGCUGGACAUUGUGAGUUUCAGAAUAUUGAAUACCAGAUUUUGUUUUCUUUCUUUAAAGAGUGGUAAGCUUUGUUCUAGUAGGUAAUAAUACUUGUUGAUCAUCUUUAUCCUUUCAAGUCUCAUUUAAAAGCUCUGAUAGGGCAGGUUUGGAGCAAACUUCACUCUAUGGCUAGUUUAUCUUAUUAUUAACUUGUGAACAUUCUGGAGUUUCUACUGAAUGCCCUGAGUACUCUCCUCUUUGUCUGAUCAGAGCUUCAACAUCUCCCAGUCCCAUGUGAGCUCAGGGACUUGUUCAGUUUAUGGUUCCCCAGUCAUUCUUUGCCUGACCUAAAGGAAUUUCACGUUAUGCACUCAUGGCUUAGUAUUAGCAAUAGACUCAAGAGGAACUCUGUGCAAAUUUCUCCAGCUCUUUCUCUGCCAUAGAUUCCAGCUGCCGUCCCCUCCCUGAACUUCAAUCUCUCCCUCUUCAACUCAGUGAUUCUAUUGUACUUGCUUACGACCCCCCUCCCUGCACUGCCUUCCAAAAGCUAACUCCACACAGAAAGCCAGGACAAUCAUAAGACUCACCUUAUUUGUUUCCUUUUCCUCAAAAAUCACAGUCCUGUCCUGCCUAUUGUCCAGUAUCUAAAAAUGCCGUUUAGUAUAUUUUGCUAUAUUUACAAGUUAUGGUGGGAGUAUAAUUCUAGUCCAAUUACUUCAUCAUGGUUGGAAGCAGAUCUCCAACAUCAAAUAUUUUGAAGUUAUGCAAUGUUUCUCCAGCUGUGGUCGAGAGCUUAUUCUAGCUCUGAGCCAGGCCUUCUGAUAACCGGUAAGAGACCUAGGCAAGAGGGGUCCCUGUGCUGGGCCUCAUACUUUAGACAAACACACAAACACAUACACAAGUGAGUUUAUUAGCAGCACAUGGGCAGCACUGCCUUUGCCCGUUGAGAUCUGACGUUCAGCAUGGUGCAGCAGGAUCCAUAACCGAAAACACUGACUUACGCUCAUCAGGGGACUGUGGCUUCACAUCUCUUCCCCAAAGUUCUGGAAUGAAAAUGUUACAAAAUGUGACUACAUUUGAAUGCCAGGAAGGUUUGUGGGUUGUGCUACUGAUGAUUUCGGAGGCAGACACUGCUUUGGGGCACCGGAAGGGUUUGAAUCACAGGGGCGCUUAGUGAGAGAGAAGACAAAUUAACUUAGCAAAUUCUUCCUCUCAGACGGCCUGAAUACAAGAAAUUCUAUUUAUCAUUUGCCAAUAGUGCCAAAUGUUCGCUUUCUUGCUUCUCUUUGUGUUAUCAUUUGAUGGACCAGAGAUACUCACAAAUUACUGCAAGCUGAGGAAUGCUUGGAAAUCAUAAAAGAAUUAUAUUCCUGUUCAAUUUGUAUGUAUGUAUAUUUAGACAGAGCAUGUGUGGUGUAUGAUACUGAUUCUUUACCUCACUAACUAGACCGAUGUUGAACCCUAGAAUUUUGAAUACGUUAAAUUUUGUUAAAAUAUUUAUUAAGAUUUAAAUAAAUUUUCAGAAGAACAAAUUUUAUGAUUUCAGCAUUAUUUGAAAACAACGUAACAUUUUGCUAUUCAUUAGUUAUAAUUUGUAUUUUGCCUUUAAUUUUAGUAGAUAAUUUUGAAUGUCAGAAGAAAUAAAAUUUCAAAAACAUGAAAAAUUUUAUUUUUAACAUUUAAUUUAAAUUUUUGAUAAAAAUACAUUCAAGAUUUGUGUACUUUAAAUAAAUCGCAUUUUAAUAUUUUACACCAUUGGGGAUGAGUACAGGUGGAAAUCAUGAUAAAUGUAGAAAAUGCAAAAAUAUAGUUCAGUUAAGGAGCUGAAGAGGAAAAAAUAAACAUUGUCAUUAUGAAGGUGUAUGUUUGUCAAGGCAGAAGGAUAGAAUGUACUUUAACAGUUGGUUGACUUGAUUUGUAACUUUUAAAUAAUUACACUUACAAUGUGAGAGCCAUCUAGUGUACUCCUCUGACUCCAUGAAUAUUAGAGGUGGCCUGGGUGAGAGGGUGGAGACAAAAUUUCCUUCCCAGUUGGGAGAGGAUCUGCUUGUGUGUGCUGCGUCCAGAUUGGGCAGGGUGAGGCGGAGAGUAUAGGAAGACUGGUUUGAGAACAUUUUCCCCUAGAAUUGCUAGUUAUGGCUCUGGUCUAGGGUUCACUUUCACCAACCGGUAGUUCUGUGGUAGGGUCUGAGGGCAAGCAGGCUGGGCUUGGGGGCAGGAUUCCAGCCAGCAAAGAACUUAAGUGCAAACAGGGCCACUGAGGAAAACAUUUGUUCAUAUGGACAAGGUUGGACGUGGUGAUGGUGGUGGCUGGGGCAGAGGGGAGCAUGGACGGGAAAUGCCUGCCCUGUCUCCCCUCUGGAGGCCCAGUGGCAUACCUGCACCCCUUGGAUACAGGCUGCCACUGGCCAGUUGUGCCACAAGCCCUGGGAUGCUUCCUAUACCGGUCACGAUUUGCCAGAUUCCAAGCUGGUGGAAAACAUCACUGACUCCUGCUCAAAAGGAUAGGAGACAAAAAAAUAAUAGGGGCUAUUUUUAUCUGUCCCAUGUGAUUAAGAAUAGUAUUUUCAGUAAUGUUUUAUAAACAGUCUAGUCAUAAGCACCUCGCUAGGCAUGUCUCCUGUGACAAAAUUUAUGUUCUGUGUGUGAUUGGCUCAGCUGGGUUGCUUCAGCUGAGCCAGGACUGAUGGUGUGUUGUCUUUGUGCCAGUUUCUGUGCUGGGCACUGGGAGAAGCUUCGGCAGGAGAGAAAGGCUAUCAGUGUUUAAUGGAGUGCUUCAGCCGUGAGAGGAAAUUGUGCCUGUGAGAAAGAGUCACUGAAACAGAUCAGAGAAGUUUUUAAAUCCACGUGGGGCCAUUCAUUUGGCUAGCAGAUAUGCUUAUUUCUCACCAAAGUGAUCGCUGUUCUGUGCGAACAGUGUCAGCAAAGCCCAAAUUGAUGAUUGCCUUACUCAAGGUGAAACAUUAGUGUCAGUUACAAAUUAGAUGAAGACACAUGAUCUGACAGAGAGGAGAGACUGAGCCAUGUCUGUUUCUGUUUCUCCAGUACCGAGCUCGGGGGUUCUCAGCCCUAGCUGCACAUUAGAAACAAUAGGGAGCUCUUAAAAAUGCUGCCACGUGAGUCCCACUCCAGCUCAAUUAGACCAGAAUCUCUUAGAGACUGGGUGCUGGCACAUUAUAUUUUUUAAAUCUUCCCAGGAGAUUGUAAUGCCCAGUUAAGGCUGGCGUCUGCUAAGCUGGCUCUCAAGCUGGACACGUAGUAAUUACUCAAUAAACAUGUGAUAAACCUGAACUUGGAGCAAGUAGCUUUUGCAGAUACCACUGUAAGUGAGAGAGAAAAAAGGAUGGGGAAGGGACUGUGUGCUUCCAGUUUAGCAAAGUGCGGAACUAGAAUGGUUUAUCUAGAGGGGUGGUUUUGUGGCUAUUAAAAGGGUGUGUUUGGGUGAGGGAGGGGUGGUGAUUUUAGG
ensembl:lncRNA